GAUGAACGCUGGCGGCGUGCCUAACACAUGCCAGUCGAACGGAGUCGUUUUGGAAAUCUCUUCGGAGAUGGAAUUCUCGACUUAGUGGCGGACGGGUGAGUAACGCGUGAGCAAUCUGCCUUUAAGAGGGGGAUAACAGUCGGAAACGGCUGCUAAUACCGCAUAAAGCAUUAAAUUCGCAUGUUUUUGAUGCCAAAGGAGCAAUCCGCUUUUAGAUGAGCUCGCGUCUGAUUAGCUAGUUGGCGGGGUAACGGCCCACCAAGGCGACGAUCAGUAGCCGGACUGAGAGGUUGAACGGCCACAUUGGGACUGAGACACGGCCCAGACUCCUACGGGAGGCAGCAGUGGGGAAUAUUGCGCAAUGGGGGAAACACUGACGCAGCAACGCCGCGUGAUUGAAGAAGGCCUUCGGGUUGUAAAGAUCUUUAAUCAGGGACGAAACAAAUGACGGUACCUGAAGAAUAAGCUCCGGCUAACUACGUG
rnacentral:rRNA from 1 species